rnacentral:rRNA from 1 species
UACGAAGGGGGCUAGCGUUGCUCGGAAUCACUGGGCGUAAAGCGCACGUAGGCGGAUCUUUAAGUCAGGGGGUGAAAUCCUGGAGCUCAACUCCAGAACUGCCUUUGAUACUGGGGAUCUCGAGUCCGGGAGAGGUGAGUGGAACUCCGAGUGUAGAGGUGAAAAUUCGUAGAUAUUCGGAAGAACACCAGUGGCGAAGGGCGGCUCACUGGGCCCCGGUACUGACGCUGAGGUG